CUACGGGAGGCACCAGUGAGGAAUAUUGCACAAUGGGGGGAACCCUGAUGCAGCAACGCCGAGUGGAGGAUGACGCAUUUCGGUGUGUAAACUCCUUUUAUAUGUCAAGAAAAUGACGGUAGCAUAUGAAUAAGCACCGGCUAACUCCGUGCCAGCAGCCGCGGUAAUACGGAGGGUGCAAGCGUUACUCGGAAUCACUGGGCGUAAAGGACGCGUAGGCGGGUUGGGAAGUCAGGUGUGAAAUCCUACAGCUUAACUGUAGAACUGCACUUGAAACUUCUAAUCUAGAGUAUGGGAGGGGGAGAUGGAAUUAGUGGUGUAGGGGUAAAAUCCGUAGAUAUCACUAGGAAUACCUAAAGCGAAGGCGAUCUCCUGGAACAUUACUGACGCUAAGGCGUGAAAGCGUGGGGAGCAAACAGGAUUAGAUACCCCAGUAGUC
rnacentral:rRNA from 1 species